GAACAGAAAAACAUACACCACAUGUUCUCACUCAUAGGCGGGUGUUGAACAAUGAGAACUGAUGGACCCAGGGAGGGAAGCAUCACACACUAGGGUUUGUUGGUGGGGAAUUGGGGAUGGACAGCUCGGGGUAAUGAGGUUGGGUAGGGAUAACAUGGGGAGAAAUGCCAAAUAUAGGUGACGGGGGUAUGGAGGUAGCAAACCACCUUGCCAUGUAUGUACCUAUGCAACAAUCCUGUAUGUUUUGCACAUGUACCCCAGAACCUAAAGUGCGAUUAAAAAAAAAAAAGAUUGUAAACUGCUUCUUUAGCCUUUGAAAACUGUCAAUUUGCCUGCUUCACAAUUGAUAAGGCCUGGGAACAUAUGGAAGUAGCCAUGCCCCUAACUAUGCUAAAGAAAUAAAGCUUUAUCCACAUCUAGUACAUAAUUAAAACAACCUACCAGGUUUUACAUUAAAGUUAAAAAUAGCUAAGAGUUACCUUUAGGACAUGUAAUCAAGACUACUGAACAUGGAUUGGCAUACAAGAUGUGUUAAAAACAAACAAACAAACAAACAGUAAACGAUGCUUUUAGUUAAAGAUUAAAAGAAGGCAUGUAAAUGUAUAUUUUGCCCAGAAAUAAAGGAUUGUUUUAAAGCAGAAGGUUUAAGCAAAUUGUAAAAAUUUAUAAAAAUUGAUCUUGCAAAGCAAACUGUGUGUGAGCAUAUUAACUAAAUUCAAAAGGGUAUUGUAUGGUUUUUUCUGUAAACUAAACACUGAAAUAAAAGCACAACAAGGCUUUCUUAAGAUGCCAAUCCACUCUUUAGCAAAACUUGUCAAGGGUUAUAACAGGUAUGUAAAAAUCUCACCCCAUGGUCAAACUGGCUAAGAUUAAGUAGGAUUGUCUAUAAGGUUUCAUUUAAAAUUAGGGUUAACAUUAAUAGCAAACUAAGGAAAGGGUGAAAUUGAACGUUCUCUCUUGAACAGGAUUUUCCUUUAAUAGAAAAGGAUGAUGAAUUAUUUUGCUUUUUCAAAUUUUUGACUCAUGAUUUUGGCAAAACGAAUAACUUAUGGUAAUCUAAAAUUCUAUUGUUUAAUAUUAAGUGUUUUAAAUUUCGAACAUAUUUAACAGUCUUUCCUAAAUCAAACUUUAGAUUCAAGGUUGUCUUUCCUGACUCCUGGCUUUUGGGUGCUGCCAAGAACCCCUGGACCGUCUGGAACAGAGGCACAUGAAGAUAGGGAAGCUAGAAGCGGACGUUGCAGGGGAAUGUCUGCAGCUGCAAGAAAUUGUCUGGGAACAGACACAGAAACUCUUCCUCAAAGCAGCACAGAGCAACACAGACUAAAAGUCUGCCUAUGUGAUGAGGGAACUGGGUAAUGGCUGAUAAAACUCUGCUCUAUGCAGAUAGCACACCUGGUCCCAGCUGAAACUUCAGGCCCCAGGGAGGUAAGAUUCUCACUCCUCACUAGCCCAUCAUCAACUAAAAACCCUGGCGUUUUUACUACAACCUGGCAACUCCCUUGGGACCCCUCUCUGUGACAGAGACCUGUUCUUUCCUGUUGCCUAUUGAACUCCUGCUCCAAUCUCAGUGUGUGUGUGUGUGUGUGUGUGUCCGCAACCUCAUUUUCCUUGGCCAUGAGAUCAAGAACCUUGGUAUUUACCCCAGACAAUGAGGCUGCUGAAAGUCACAGCACAGCCUCAUGUGCAUAGGAAUACUUUGUGAAACUUCAGUACUAUACUUUGGGGUCAUUUAAAAUAGUGAAAUCACUAACUAAAAGCAUCAAAGUGUGAAAAAAAUCAAAAGGACACUAAAUUGCCCCAGGAAGAGAAUUUGUUUUAUAGUAUAAGAGCCGAAACAAGAAGGCAGAAUGUCAUCUCUUGCUCAACCUCAGAAUGAGUCGUGUCUGGUGAUCCAAAUUUUUUAAUCACUCUGAAUAUGUCUACAAAUGACCAUUAAAGAACCAUACAUACUGA